UACGGAGGGAGCGAGCGUUGUCCGAAGUUACUGGGCGGUAAAGCGCGCGUAGGCGGGGGGAUUAAGUGAGAAAGUGGAAAAGGCUGAGGCGUCAACCCUCAUGUCAGUGCUUCUCAUACUGGUCCUCUUGAGGGUGGUAGAGAGAAGUGGAAUGGCUGGUGUAGCGGUGAAAUGCGUAGAUAUCAGUCGGAACACCGGUGGCGAAGGCGGCUUCUUGGGCCAUUUCUGACGGCUGAGGCGCGGAAAAGCUAGGGGAGCGAAACGGGG
rnacentral:rRNA from 1 species